CAGCCCUAAACGAUGCGCGUUAGGUGUAUCGGUGACCACGAGUCACCGAGGUGCCGAAGGGAAACCGUGAAACGUGCCGCCUGGGAAGUACGGUCGCAAGGCUGAAACUUAAAGGAAUUGGCGGGGGAGCACCACAACGGGUGGAGCCUACGGUUUAAUUGGACUCAACGCCGGGAAGCUCACCGGAUAAGACAGCGGAAUGAUUGCCGGGCUGAAGACCCUGCAUGACCAGCUGAGAGGAGGUGCAUGGCGUAGACGUCU
rnacentral:rRNA from 1 species